CAGCAGCCGCGGUAAUACGGAGGGUGCAAACGUUAAUCGGAAUUACUGGGCGUAAAGCGCACGUAGGCGGAUAGUCAAGUGGGACGUGAAAGCCCCCGGCUCAACCGGGGAAUUGCGUUUCAAACUGGCUGUCUAGAGUGUAGUAGAGGAAAGUGGAAUUUGCUGUGUAGCGGUGAAAUGCGUAGAUAUGGCAAGGAACAUCAGUGGCGAAGGCGGCUUUCUGGACUAACACUGACGCUGAGGUGCGAAAGCGUGGGUAGCGAACAGGAUUAGAUACCCUGGUAGUCCACGCCGUAAACGAUGAGAACUAGCCGUAGGGUCCCUCGGGAUUAUGUGGCGCAGCUAACGCGAUAAGUUCUCCGCCUGGGGACUACGACCGCAAGGUUAAAACUCAAAUGAAUUGACGGGAGCCCGCACAAGCGGUGGAGCAUGUUGUUUAAUUCGAUGCAACGCGAAGAACCUUACCACCUCUUGACAUCCACGGAAUCCCUCAGAGAUGAGGGAGUGCUUUUAGAACCGUGAGACAGGUGUUGCAUGGCUGUCGUCAGCUCGUGUCGUGAGAUGUUGGGUUAAGUCCCGUAACGAGCGCAACCCUUGUCCUUAUUUGCCAGCGGAUCAUGCCGGGAACACUAAGGAGACUGCCGGUGAUAAACCGGAGGAAGGCGGGGAUGAGGUCAAGUCAUCAUGGCCCUUACGAGGUGGGCUACAAACAUGCUACAAUGGAGGGUACAAAGGGUAGCGAGCCCGUGAGGGUGAGCCAAUCUCAAAAAACCCUUCGUAGUCCGGAUAGGAGUCUGCAACUCGACUCCUUGAAGUCGGAAUCGCUAGUAAUCGCGAAUCAGAACGUCGCGGUGAAUACGUUCCCGGGCUUUGUACACACCGCCCGU
rnacentral:rRNA from 1 species